rnacentral:rRNA from 1 species
CACGUAGUUAGCCGUGGCUUUCUAACGAGGUACCGUCAAGGUACGAGCAGUUACUCUCGUACUUGUUCUUCCCUCGCAACAGAGUUUUACGAUCCGAAAACCUUCAUCACUCACGCGGCGUUGCUCCAUCAGACUUUCGUCCAUUGUGGAAGAUUCCCUACUGCUGCCUCCCGUAGGAGUCUGGGCCGUGUCUCAGUCCCAGUGUGGCCGAUCACCCUCUCAGGUCGGCUACGCAUCGUUGCCUUGGUAGGCCGUUACCCCACCAACUAGCUAAUGCGCCGCGGGCCCAUCCUACAGCGAUAGCCGAAACCAUCUUUUAUAAUUCAAUCAUGAGAUUAAAUUAAUCAUUCGGUAUUAGCCCCGGUUUCCGGAGUUAUCCCCAACUGUAGGGCAGGUUGCCCACGUGUUACUCACCCAUCCGCCGCUAACAGAGUGAGGUGCAAGCACCUCGUCUGUUCGCUCGACUUGCAUGUAUUAGGCACGCCGCCAGCGUCGUCU